rnacentral:rRNA from 1 species
UGGGGAAUAUUGGACAAUGGGCGCAAGCCUGAUCCAGCCAUGCCGCGUGAGUGAUGAAGGCCCUAGGGUUGUAAAGCUCUUUCACCGGUGAAGAUAAUGACGGUAACCGGAGAAGAAGCCCCGGCUAACUUCGUGCCAGCAGCCGCGGUAAUACGAAGGGGGCUAGCGUUGUUCGGAUUUACUGGGCGUAAAGCGCACGUAGGCGGACUAUUAAGUCAGGGGUGAAAUCCCGGGGCUCAACCCCGGAACUGCCUUUGAUACUGGUAGUCUUGAGUUCGAGAGAGGUGGGUGGAAUUCCGGGUGUAGAGGUGAAAUUCGUAAAUAUUCGGAGGAACACCAGUGGCGAAGGCGGCUCACUGGCUCGAUACUGACGCUGAGGUGCGAAAGCGUGGGGAGCAAACAGG